CGAAAGAACAAAGUGAAAACGCUCGACAGUCGGUAACAAACCCCUGAGCUUUUAAUUUUCCUUCCCUUAAUUCACGUUUCCCUGCGCAGAGAGAACAUCAAAGCGGCACAGGGCUGCACGGGAACAGGAGGUGAGGAUGAGGUGUUGCUGCACCUGACUAUUACCGGAUUUACUGUUGCCUUUGUGGAACAUGCUCAACCCUCUCAGCCUGCCAGAAGAGAUGAAAACCACUGACGUUAUCUCUGCAGUGCAAAACUGCGAUGGAAUCAGUUCACAUCAGCAAAGGCCAUCGCACACACCCUGAAAUAAAGCCUCAACAGCCCCAUUUAA